GAAAGAAAGGAGACAUCUGGCAAAGAACUCCGUUUCUUUGAAGCAAAAUUCGCUUCCCACAAAACCAGGACUGGGCUUUGAAUAAAAUCUCUUCUGGAGAUUUCUCAGAGGAUAGAGGAAAUUAUACUUUGCUAAGAACAAGUACCUGAACAUGGAAACGAUGAGAUGGACACCUACAUGGCUGUGCGUGCGUAUCCAUGCCCUUUAUUUGUACUCAUAUUGUAGGGACUCCGUGUCAGCUUUGGGAUGCACAACCCUCUUCAUCCAGCUGAGAGGCAGCCUGGACCACAGUGCCCACAAAGAAAUGAAACUGGUUGCUAAGUCGUCAUUUCCCAGGCAAGCACUGAACUUUUCAUUCAACGAUGAGAAGAGGUGCUUGGCUGACAGUCCCGGAGACUGAAGAUCCCUGCUUGUGAUUAAUGGUAAAUACGCCACCCUUUUUAAGAAAGAUUGAGCCAAAGAAACCCCAGAGCUUUAAACAUAUGAAUCACUUGAAUCACAACUCUCAUUUGAAUACCUUCCACAAGCAAUAAAAAAAUGGCUUCGGUUUUAUUUUCCUUUACC
rnacentral:lncRNA from 1 species